rnacentral:lncRNA from 1 species
CAGGCAGUGCAGGACUAAGCAUGCUCAGUGAAAAAGCUUUUUCUCCUUUGCCUGUCAAGCCCCAGGUUUGAACUCAUUCCAGAAUGCCGGAUUUACUUUUCUUGGGGAAGAAACAGUACCUGCCUGGGCUGCAUUUUUCCCUUCCCUCCUCAGAAGACUGGAAACAAUAUUCUUUUGAUGCCGGGUGCGCUCCCAGUAACGUGCCUGCCUGCAAGUGGGAAUCUUGCCCUGGAGAAGGAGACAAACUUUGGUACCUGUGAAACGAAGACUCCUUAGGUAGCAGAGGAAAGGAAAGCAAUUCUAUUUACCAUAUUGCUCACAGACUCCACAAAUGAGUAACUUGAUGACUUCAGUGGGAAUUGCUCUUAAACAAGAGAGAGAAAGGGUCACCUGGAUUCUCCUGGAGAUGGGAGUCAGGGACAAAAGUCUCCAGGAAGGCACAAGAAGAGGAUCUCAAAUGCUGCCUCUUCUCCAUCCCACAUCAAGGUCCAGGCAAGUAUUGUUUCCCCUGGUUGGAGCUUCACUGGUGAGUCCUUACAAGGGUUUGCUUCUCACACAGGGAAAUGGUGUCACUGAAGUUUUGUUUCAUAAAAAUGUGA